UACGUAGGGGGCUAGCGUUGUCCGGAAUCAUUGGGCGUAAAGCGCGCGUAGGCGGCCCGGUAAGUCCGCUGUAAAAGUCCAGGGCUCAACCCUGGAAAGCCGGUGGAUACUGUCGGGCUCGAGUCCGGAAGAGGCGAGUGGAAUUCCUGGUGUAGCGGUGAAAUGCGCAGAUAUCAGGAGGAACACCAAUGGCGAAGGCAGCUCGCUGGGACGGUACUGACGCUGAGACGCGAAAGCGUGGGGAGCGAACAGG
rnacentral:rRNA from 1 species